CGCCAUGGUCAGUAAAAUUGGACCAAUGAGAGCAGUUUCGCAAAAUCGCGAUUCGCGAUUCGCCAAAAAAUAUUCGCAAAAUUUGGACCUAUUUCAUACAGUCGCGAAUUUUUAAGGACAUUUCA